rnacentral:lncRNA from 13 species
AGAGAAAGGUGGUCUCAGACAACAGACCAGAAUGGCACCUCGGGGGCUUGGCAGGGUGCAGGCAGGAUCCAGGGAACUACUGGCGUCUGGGAGGAGCCUCUCAGGUUUACACAAAGAGGACUCCCAGUAGGAACAUUUGAAGGUUUUCCUCCUGUGACUGUUGGAACCACCUGGGCGUGCGACUUGUUGUCUGGGUGCGGCUCAUGGAUCAGCAUCUAUUCAAAACCUCCAGGAGUGAGAACCACAGUCUUAGCAACCAGGCCAGGUCUUCUGACCAACUUCACCAACCUGAAGUCAUCGAAGCUCCACUGGGGUUUCUCAGGUCAUACGGACACUGUAGGUGAAGAUACAGGUUGGAUUCAGCUCCAAGAGGACAUGUAUGACAAACUCAAGGCAAGUAAGAGGAUGAGCAGAGGUGGGACCCACAAAGGGGAGUCAGCCACAGGCAUCUCAGGUCAGGCUCAUUCUGAUGGAAAAGUGUUAUCCCACUCAGGGUGACGGAACAAACAGCACCUGUUUAGCACCAGAUGACUUGGGCAGACCGGAAGUCACGGAUUUAUAUCCUUCCAUAGGAGAACUCCUGCGCAAAAUGCAGUGGAUUGUGCAGGAAGAGGAAAGGAAUGGGGCUUGAACACAGGGAGAAACUGAGACCCACUCGAUUUGGUGAGUAACACAAGCCCUGUCAGUGUCAGGAAAGGGGAAGGACCUAAGAGCUAGUGAAAUCUUCAGAAAUCACCUGAGUCUUACUGGAAGACCAGGGGAAGAGUGAGAAACUGACUCAGCUGGUGAUUGACCUGAAAUGAAAGCGGCUCUUAAACCAGCCUGCAUCAGAAUCAUCACCAUGUAAACUAGUUACAUAUUGUGGUGUAAUGGAUUAUUGCAAAACCGAGCAGCCUAAAACAAUAUGCAUUCAUUAUCUCACGUUCCUAUGGGUCAGGAAUCCAGUGCAGCUCAGUUGAGUGCCCCUAGCUCAAGUCUGCAGUCUCAUCUGAAGGCUCAUCUGAAGUCUCAUAAGUCUGCAGUCUCAUCUGAAGGCUCAGCAGGGCUGGGUAGGGAGCCGGCUUUCACGCUUUCUCCCCUGGCUGCCGGCAGCCUUGUUCCUUGUUGUGUGAGUCUCUCUCCAGAGGCUGCCUGAAUGUCCUUGCUACACAGCAGUUAGUGACCUGGUAAAUGGUCAGACAGCAUCCAGGAUGAACGGCAGUCUUUCUAGAACCAGGUUUGGAAGUGCACCUCAUCAUUUCUGCUGUGUUCUAUUCAUCAGAAAGUAGUCACUAAGUCCAGCCCAUUCUUGGGGGAGGGGACUGCACAAGGGCAUGAAUACCAGGACGUGGGGAUCACAGGGUCAAAGAAGGCUGCCUGCCAUACCUUCGUCAGCUAAAACAAAAAACAAACUUGAAAAUAAAUAAAGUUAGUUGUGUUCA